rnacentral:SRP_RNA from 1 species
GGCCGUGGAGGGCCCUCGCCCAGCGAAGUUCCGCAGUCGCCUGGCAACCUCGCCGGAGCGGCCGCCGUGCUGGGUGCGGCUGCGGCGCUGGGGGCCGCCGCAGGCUGG